UACGUAGGGCCCGAGCGUUAUCCGGAAUCACUGGGCUUAAAGGGCGCGUAGGCGGGCUGCCGCGUCCGGGGUGAAAUCCCACGGCUCAACCGUGGAACGGCCCCGGGUACGGGCGGCCUCGAGGGGGGUAGGGGCGUGCGGAACUGUGGGUGGAGCGGUGAAAUGCGUUGAGAUCCACAGGAACUCCGGUGGCGAAGGCGGCACGCUGGACCCUCUCUGACGCUGAGGCGCGAAAGCCAGGGGAGCGAACGGG
rnacentral:rRNA from 1 species